AUUAGCUAGUUGGUGGGGUAAAGGCCUACCAAGGCGACGAUCUGUAGCGGGUCUGAGAGGAUGAUCCGCCACACUGGGACUGAGACACGGCCCAGACUCCUACGGGAGGCAGCAGUGGGGAAUAUUGGACAAUGGGGGAAACUCUGAUCCAGCCAUGCCGCGUGUGUGAAGAAGGCCUUAUGGUUGUAAAGCACUUUAAGCGAGGAGGAGGCUACUGAGACUAAUACUCUUGGAUAGUGGACGUUACUCGCAGAAUAAGCACCGGCUAACUCUGUGCCAGCAGCCGCGGUAAUACAGAGGGUGCGAGCGUUAAUCGGAUUUACUGGGCGUAAAGCGUGCGUAGGCGGCUUUUUAAGUCGGAUGUGAAAUCCCCGAGCUUAACUUGGGAAUUGCAUUCGAUACUGGGAAGCUAGAGUAUGGGAGAGGAUGGUAGAAUUCCAGGUGUAGCGGUGAAAUGCGUAGAGAUCUGGAGGAAUACCGAUGGCGAAGGCAGCCAUCUGGCCUAAUACUGACGCUGAGGUACGAAAGCAUGGGGAGCAAACAGGAUUAGAUACCCUGGUAGUCCAUGCCGUAAACGAUGUCUACUAGCCGUUGGGGCCUUUGAGGCUUUAGUGGCGCAGCUAACGCGAUAAGUAGACCGCCUGGGGAGUACGGUCGCAAGACUAAAACUCAAAUGAAUUGACGGAAUCGUCGACCUGCAGGCAUGCAAG
rnacentral:rRNA from 1 species